AGAGUGAACGCUGGCGGUAGGCCUAACACAUGCAAGUCGAACGGCAGCACAGGAGAGCUUGCUCUCUGGGUGGCGAGUGGCGGACGGGUGAGGAAUACAUCGGAAUCUACCUUUUCGUGGGGGAUAACGUAGGGAAACUUACGCUAAUACCGCAUAAGACCUUCGGGUGAAAGCCGGGGACCUUCGGGCCUGGCGCGGAUAGAUGAGCCGAUGUCGGAUUAGCUUGUUGGCGGGUAAAAGCCCACCAAGGCGACGAUCCGUAGCUGGUCUGAGAGGAUGAUCAGCCACACUGGAACUGAAGCACGGUCCAGACUCCU
rnacentral:rRNA from 1 species